AUGGCGGCUGCAGCUCCUCAGAGGGAGCGGAGGGGCAGCGCUGAGCUCUGCUCUCUGGGGACAGCGACGGGGCCCGAGGGAACGGCAUGGAGCUGUGUCAGGGGAGGGGCAGCUGGGGGUCAGGGAAGGUUUUGCACCAGAGGGCAGUGGGCAUGGAGCAGGCUGCCCAGGGCAGUGGGCACAGCACUGAGCUGCCAAGUUCAAGCAGCAUUUGGACACCGCUCUCAGAUGCAGGGGUUGAAUAUUGGUGGUGCUGUGUGGAGCCAGGAGUUGGACUUAAUGAUCCUUGUGUGUUCCUUCCAAAUUGGGAUAUCCUAUGGUUCUAUGAUUCUAAAUGUGAGGCCAGUCCAAAAAGUGUUGUUCUCUGUCUGGCGCCCAACACACUGGAGCUGUUCAGGAAACUGUCCUGGAUGUGCAUCGAUAGGCAUCAAGAAAUGGACAGCUCAUCAGGCUGCAGGUUUGUGAAUUUAAAAAAAAAAAAGCAAGAGAAAGGACUGAGGUAGACAUACUAUUCUCAGAAUAAUACCUGGUGUUAGCAUAAAGUGUUAAAUGACUUGAGCAAAGUGGCAGAAUCUGGCCAGAGAGAGGGAAUCUGGGUUCAUUGAUCUAUGUAGAGGCAAGUUCAUGCACAGUCAGGGCCCGCAUUUCCACAGUGAUGUUCAGUAUGCUUCAGCUCAUUGCUAGCAGGGCAAGGACAACAAACAAAGCCCUGAAAAUCCUGAGGUGUGUAACAGAGCUAUCUCACCUGCCUUUCAUCAGAGCCUGGCUGCUGGGACGCUGUUAUAUAACAGCAGUGGCAUCAACGGCAUCCCCAGCUUCAUGUCUUUGAAUUAAGUAUGUGUAAUGACAUAUCACUGCAGCAAGGCUUGAAUGAUACGAGGCAUGUGAUAACCUCCUGCCCAGCACCUAUUCUAUCGAGGCAGCACUGGCUGCACUGCAUGCUUGCUGCAAUGCCAUCCAUGUGCUCUCAGAAACAAUAAUCAGGGCCGUUAGGACCAGAAAAGCCUGCCACAGCCAGCAGUGACAAAAUCACAGAAUAGAAUUAGCAUACUUUUAUCCUAUUUUUGAAAAUUUCUUCCCUUUUUUCAUUUUUUUUUCCUUUCCCCAUUCCCUACUCCUCAGCAGCCUGUGCGUUUUCAUCUUCCAGCCGGCUGUAGCGAUCCUCUGGGAAAGAGAAUCUUUCCACACACACAGCACCUGCUUCCCUCUCCUCUGCAACAAAUAAAUACCCUCAAGCCCUUUAGAAUUCUUCA
rnacentral:lncRNA from 1 species